rnacentral:rRNA from 1 species
CGGCGUGCCUAAUACAUGCAAGUCGAACGUCAGUUUGUGGUUGAAAUGAUAUGAAGAACUUGUUCAGAUUUGAUUUUCAACAUUGCAAUGAGUGGCGAACGGGUGAGUAACACGUGGGAAACCUACCUCUUAGCAGGGAUAACAUUUGGAAACAAAUGCUAAUACCGUAUAAUAAUUAAAACCGCAUGGUUUUAGUUUAAAAGAUGGUCUUGCUAUCACUAAGAGAUGGUCCCGCGGUGUAUUAGUUAGUUGGUGAGGUAAUGGCUCACCAAGACAAUGAUACAUAGCCGAGUUGAGAGACUGACCGGCCACAAUGGGACUGAGACACGGCCCAUACUCCUACGGGAGGCAGCAGUAGGGAAUCUUCCACAAUGGACGAAAGUCUGAUGGAGCAACGCCGCGUGUGUGAUGAAGGGUUUCGGCUCGUAAAACACUGUUGUAAGAGAAGAAUGACAUUGAGAGUAACUGUUCAAUGUGUGACGGUAUCUUACCAGAAAGGAACGGCUAAAUACGUG